rnacentral:rRNA from 1 species
GUGUGACUGCGUACCUUUUGUAUAAUGGGUCAGCGACUUAUAUUCUGUAGCAAGGUUAACCGAAUAGGGGAGCCGAAGGGAAACCGAGUCUUAACUGGGCGUUAAGUUGCAGGGUAUAGACCCGAAACCCGGUGAUCUAGCCAUGGGCAGGUUGAAGGUUGGGUAACACUAACUGGAGGACCGAACCGACUAAUGUUGAAAAAUUAGCGGAUGACUUGUGGCUGGGGGUGAAAGGCCAAUCAAACCGGGAGAUAGCUGGUUCUCCCCGAAAGCUAUUUAGGUAGCGCCUCGUGAAUUCAUCUCCGGGGGUAGAGCACUGUUUCGGCAAGGGGGUCAUCCCGACUUACCAACCCGAUGCAAACUGCGAAUACCGGAGAAUGUUAUCACGGGAGACACACGGCGGGUGCUAACGUCCGUCGUGAAGAGGGAAACAACCCAGACCGCCAGCUAAGGUCCCAAAGUCAUGGUUAAGUGGGAAACGAUGUGGGAAGGCCCAGACAGCCAGGAUGUUGGCUUAGAAGCAGCCAUCAUUUAAAGAAAGCGUAAUAGCUCACUGGUCGAGUCGGCCUGCGCGGAAGAUGUAACGGGGCUAAACCAUGCACCGAAGCUGCGGCAGCGACGCUUAUGCGUUGUUGGGUAGGGGAGCGUUCUGUAAGCCUGUGAAGGUGUACUGUGAGGUAUGCUGGAGGUAUCAGAAGUGCGAAUGCUGACAUAAGUAACGAUAAAGCGGGUGAAAAGCCCGCUCGCCGGAAGACCAAGGGUUCCUGUCCAACGUUAAUCGGGGCAGGGUGAGUCGACCCCUAAGGCGAGGCCGAAAGGCGUAGUCGAUGGGAAACAGGUUAAUAUUCCUGUACUUGGUGUUACUGCGAAGGGGGGACGGAGAAGGCUAUGUUGGCCGGGCGACGGUUGUCCCGGUUUAAGCGUGUAGGCUGGUUUUCCAGGCAAAUCCGGAAAAUCAAGGCUGAGGCGUGAUGACGAGGCACUACGGUGCUGAAGCAACAAAUGCCCUGCUUCCAGGAAAAGCCUCUAAGCAUCAGGUAACAUCAAAUCGUACCCCAAACCGACACAGGUGGUCAGGUAGAGAAUACCAAGGCGCUUGAGAGAACUCGGGUGAAGGAACUAGGCAAAAUGGUGCCGUAACUUCGGGAGAAGGCACGCUGAUAUGUAGGUGAAGUGACUUGCUCAUGGAGCUGAAAUCAGUCGAAGAUACCAGCUGGCUGCAACUGUUUAUUAAAAACACAGCACUGUGCAAACACGAAAGUGGACGUAUACGGUGUGACGCCUGCCCGGUGCCGGAAGGUUAAUUGAUGGGGUCAGCGCAAGCGAAGCUCUUGAUCGAAGCCCCGGUAAACGGCGGCCGUAACUAUAACGGUCCUAAGGUAGCGAAAUUCCUUGUCGGGUAAGUUCCGACCUGCACGAAUGGCGUAAUGAUGGCCAGGCUGUCUCCACCCGAGACUCAGUGAAAUUGAACUCGCUGUGAAGAUGCAGUGUACCCGCGGCAAGACGGAAAGACCCCGUGAACCUUUACUAUAGCUUGACACUGAACAUUGAGCCUUGAUGUGUAGGAUAGGUGGGAGGCUUUGAAGUGUGGACGCCAGUCUGCAUGGAGCCGACCUUGAAAUACCACCCUUUAAUGUUUGAUGUUCUAACGUUGACCCGUGAUCCGGGUUGCGGACAGUGUCUGGUGGGUAGUUUGACUGGGGCGGUCUCCUCCUAAAGAGUAACGGAGGAGCACGAAGGUUGGCUAAUCCUGGUCGGACAUCAGGAGGUUAGUGCAAUGGCAUAAGCCAGCUUGACUGCGAGCGUGACGGCGCGAGCAGGUGCGAAAGCAGGUCAUAGUGAUCCGGUGGUUCUGAAUGGAAGGGCCAUCGCUCAACGGAUAAAAGGUACUCCGGGGAUAACAGGCUGAUACCGCCCAAGAGUUCAUAUCGACGGCGGUGUUUGGCACCUCGAUGUCGGCUCAUCACAUCCUGGGGCUGAAGUAGGUCCCAAGGGUAUGGCUGUUCGCCAUUUAAAGUGGUACGCGAGCUGGGUUUAGAACGUCGUGAGACAGUUCGGUCCCUAUCUGCCGUGGGCGCUGGAGAACUGAGGGGGGCUGCUCCUAGUACGAGAGGACCGGAGUGGACGCAUCACUGGUGUUCGGGUUGUCAUGCCAAUGGCACUGCCCGGUAGCUAAAUGCGGAAGAGAUAAGUGCUGAAAGCAUCUAAGCACGAAACUUGCCCCGAGAUGAGUUCUCCCUGACUCCUUGA